GACGAACGCUGGCGGCGUGCUUAACACAUGCAAGUCGAACGGUGAAGCGCCUUCCUUUUUGGUGGGUGUGGAUGGGUGGCGAACGGGUGAGUAACACGUGAGUAACCUGCCCCCUUCUUCUGGAUAACCGCAUGAAAGUGUGGCUAAUACGGGAUAUUCUGGGUCUGUCGCAUGAUGGGUCUGGGAAAGAUAUUGUUUCGGUGGGGGAUGGGCUCGCGGCCUAUCAGCUUGUUGGUGGGGUGAUGGCCUACCAAGGCGGUGACGGGUAGCCGGCCUGAGAGGGUGGACGGUCACACUGGGACUGAGACACGGCCCAGACUCCUACGGGAGGCAGCAGUGGGGAAUAUUGCACAAUGGGCGCAAGCCUGAUGCAGCGACGCCGCGUGAGGGAUGGAGGCCUGCGGGUUGUGAACCUCUUUCGCCAGUGAAGCAGGCCUGCCUCGUUUGUGGGUGGGUUGACGGUAGCUGGAUAAGAAGCGCCGGCUAACUACGUG
rnacentral:rRNA from 1 species